rnacentral:rRNA from 1 species
UUACGGGAGGCAGCAGUAGGGAAUUUUCCGCAAUGGGCGAAAGCCUGACGGAGCAACGCCGCGUGAGGGAUGAAGGUUUUCGGAUCGUAAACCUCUGUCUAGGGGGACGAUAAUGACGGUACCCCUGGAGGAAGCCACGGCUAACUACGUGCCAGCAGCCGCGGUAAUACGUAGGUGGCAGGCGUUGUCCGGAAUUAUUGGGCGUAAAGGGCGUGUAGGCGGCCUUUUAAGUCAGACGUGAAAACCCUGGGCUUAACCCAGGAACUGCGUUUGAAACUGGAGGGCUUGAGGACCGGAGAGGGUAGUGGAAUUCCCAGUGUAGCGGUGAAAUGCGUAGAUAUUGGGAGGAACACCAGUGGCGAAGGCGACUGCCUGGACGGCACCUGACGCUGAGGCGCGAAAGCUAGGGGAGCAAACGGGAUUAGAUACCCGAGUAGUCG